GAGUUGCUAUGUCAGUUUAUUGGAGGUGCAAGACUAACACUAGGAUGAAAGCUGCUGAUAAGAUAGAAGAUCAUUAGAAAGAAGUCCCUGCUUCCCCUUUUCCUCCCCAAAGAGGGUUUUAGCAGCCCAGUGCACUAGGGCCAGACACGCCGGUGGAUCGGUCCCUCUCCCUGACGCUGGGCUGGGCCCCAGGCUCUUCCGCUGCGGUGGCGUUUGUGGCAGCAGAGCAGCCAGACCGUUAAAAACCCCGAGGGAAAGGGAAAGCUGAGGAUCAGUGUCACAACAGGUUGCGUGAAGUGGGACUGAGACUUUGGAGGUGUAAACUGCUUUUCUGUCCGAGGAGAGCUUUUCGUUUGCUGGUACCUCAGCUUGCAAGUAAGAGCCGGGGAGGAGGAUGCGACUCAACCUGCUGUUUGAUACAAACCAGCAGUAACACACGUGGAUCUCCUGAACCGAGUCUUGCAGGCAGCUUUUGCAGGGAAAGCCCCAGCUCGGGGAGCUUGUGCUCAGCAUCCUCGACAACCCCGUGCUCCUCAGCCUCAGCGAUGCCUCUUCCCUUCGCAUCUCUGCAGGUGGGAGCUUUUCAUUCCUGCUGCUAUUUGCAUGUGCUUUGACUGGUUCCGAGCUCUUGAAUCUGCCUGCCUGCAGCGGGCCUGGGCUGGGAUAGAUGGAGAAGGGCUGUAGGAUGGCAGAGCAUCUAGUGGAGCGAGGACGAGGUGUGUGAGCCCCAACCUCGUCUGGUACCGGGGGACCAGGACGCACCUGGGUUUUGGAUGGAAGUUUCUUCUGCAGCGAGAAGGAGCUGCCGAGGGCUGGCACGCUGGCACAGCCGCGUGUUUCUGCUUCAAGGAGCGAUGACUCCACCUUCGCUAAGUGCUUUGCCCAGCUUGGCACUGCGGGAUGAAAAGGCUUAUUUGCAUUCAAAUGCCUUUUGCCUUUAAAAAGUGUGUCCCUCCUUUGUUGUUGGCGCCUCAGCUUCUUCAGCAGCACCAGGUUGUUCUCUGCAGUCGUGCGCUGGUUGAUCUCCUUGAUCUCUUUGUUGGUGUUGGGAAGGGGAGAUGAAGGUGCCGUGGCACCACAGCCCCCCGUCCUCCUGCAUUCAUCGCAGGGUGCUCAUGGAGACCCUAAAGAGCUGGUUCCCAGGGGCGUUUGCCACCGAUCUUUGGAGGAAACAACAAAACAGCUGCCUAACAACACACGUCUGUCCUUGCUAGCUCAGUGCUAUUAUUAUUAUAUACAGAUCUCAGUGACUGUGAUAGAAACACAGCCCCCAGGCUGGGCGGGGGCAUCGAGGAGAGCUGCAGAGCACAUUAGGGGCACGUUUCAUCCUCCAGCAGCUCUGGCUCUCCCGCGGGGCUUGGGGACAGCUGGGGACGGUGGCCUGGGUGAGGGGACGGUGGCCUGGGUGAGGGGACGGUGGCCUGGGUGAGGGGACGGUGGCCUGGGUGAGGGGACGGUGGCCUGGGCAGGGGACGCCCAGGGUGCGGAUGCGCAGCAGCGCUCGGUCCUGCUCCUGGGAAGGGCUGAAGAGCAGCGCUGGCCGUGGAGCGAUGCCCGGCUCCAGUGAAACCAUUAAACGGGCAGAUGAAAGGCAGGAGUUCAAAGGCAGGAGUCCGUGCAGCUAAUGAAACAUCAGCCUUUCAUGGCCCUUUCAUGGGGGAAGAUUUCUUCACAUCGGGAAUAUCCAACCCUGAAAAUCAUUUCCAUUAAGUCCCAGCCCGUAUAUAGAUUUGUGGGUCUCUAAGCUCUUAGCCACAUAGAAGGGGAAAGUUAAUUUGGCAUAUGUCUGAUUUCUAAUUGCUGUUGCCAUGUGGAUUCGUGUUUGACUCAGAAGAGCGAAGCGUUAGGAAGAAGACUUUGGGAUCCCCAGCGUUUACAAUAAGCGAAGGUAAGAAGAGCAGGUGGGGCCCGAAGCAGCGAUACGCUCUGGGCAGGUGCGGGCGGCGUUACCGCGGUGCAGCGCCGUGCUCCCUGCCCAGCGGCGUGUGUGCUGGCAUUGACCUUUGCCCCAGAAUCCCCCGAUGUGGAGCCAGGAGGAACAUUUGCCCCUUCGUGUCAGAUGCAGGAUUUCUUCUGGUGAACGUUUUUCUGGAGGCACAGAGAACCACGAAAGAGCCUCAGAGCCGAGCGUGGGGGACGACUUCUGUGCCCCGCGGCCGCCCGUUCUGCUCCGGCGCCGCGGGGCUGGCGGAGGCGGCAACGGCCUGGACAGCCAGCGCGGAGGGGUCGGCAGCGCGUGUCGCCUUUGGCACUGCAGCCUGCGCCAGCUCUCAGCUCUUGUGUUUCUGGUUCCAGAUGGACGACUUAAGCUCUCUGUUAUUCUCACCACGAGGUGCAUCCCUCGUGGGCACGGCAGCACACGCUCGCGCUUCGUGCGUGUUUUUCGGGAGUGGGUGAGCGAGGGAGCAGCAGCUCCUAAGAGCCUGAGAGUGGGGAGCUGAGGGAACCGGCCCUCCCUUCCCCCCAGGGGCUCCGUCUGCCUCCCAGCCUGCGCCUGAGGACGUUAUCAAUCCCAGAGAGGCUGAGUUUGGGGUUUAAUGGGUCUUUUCCAUUUCUAAUUAUGGCAGCGAUGGCAUUUUAUUAGGCUGUGCGCCUCGUGCGUGUUCGGAACAGCGUGAGCUGAAAUUCUUGCUUUCUUGGGAAAAAAACAGAUUUAUUUCCUUAAAUGACUCGUCACGUUAAGCCUUGAAAGACUACAGGGGCUUGGGCGAGAAACGGCGGAGGCGCAGCACCGCAGGGGUUGAGACAGAGGGUGUUUCCUCUAGGGCCUGCUAGGAAGAGUAGAUGUUUGCCCCUCCCGUGGAAGAUGCUGAUGCUAAAACCACUUGGCUCACACUAAUCUGAACGGAACAUCCGUGUUCCUGUUGGGUAUGAGGUGUCUGGGGGUGCAGAGGAACGAAAGGUCUCAACUUGUCCGUGUCUGACUCCUGUUUACCUUCAGCUCUGCUCUGCUAUGCCAACCGCUCCUGGAAACUGGAAUUAAAAGCAGGAUGCGACAGAAUUAACUCCACGUGCCUUUUAUUAGGUGAACCCUGGGAAAUGAGGAUUUCAGAGAGAACAAACAGGAGCAUGAGAUGUUUUAUAUAAAUAAGGACAGACAGCUCUGACUUCCAAAUCUGGCACAAGUAACAGGGCGAGGACUGCACACAACACACGCGGAAACUCGGCGCGGUGCUGAUGUCCGGCUUUAAUAGCACCGCUUGCUUGCAGAGGUGGUGGAGACGUAUUUAACGCUGGAGCUGCUUCCACCGACCACGCAGGACCUGGCGGCGCCUUGUCCACCGGUUCCUGCGGCACAGAUUCCGUCUCCAAGGCCGCUGCCGAAGUUCAGACAGUUCCCGCCUCCGUAACCGGCUCCUGCGGCCGUUCUGGUCACAGCUGCGGGAGGAAAGCACCCUGUGCAGGGGCGGCGCGGGCCGCGGGCCCCGAGCCCGGGGGCUACGCGCACCGGGCACCAGAGUCUCUUUACAAGUUACUUACAGAUAUUGACUGCGCUGGCAGCUUCUCCAGAGAGCCUGUUGGGGAGCAAAAUGGCACAGUAAGCAUUCGAGGAGAACCCGUGCACAGGAGCUGCUUGAGAGUUUCCUUGGAAUGUUUUUAGUGGAAAGUUUGCACAAAAGGUCCAGGCUGCGGCUGUUGUCCAUGGUCAGCACCACCGAGGUGUCCGAGAUCUGGCUCUGCAGCUGCGACAGCUCCUGCGAAACAGCGCGUGGUUCGGUAUCCUGUUCUUGGAUGUUAUCUAUAGCUGUUGGAUGGGUGACAUCGUGUUCAACGGAGCGUGUGAACGCACGUGGACCUGACCCUCCUGAUAGUGAAGGAGGCGGAAUAUCGGCAUCAAGAGCCAAGAUAAACCCCUGGACCCGCGUGGCCGGCGCUCGGAGCAGAGGGGAACGCUCAACCCGCCCAGGCUGCCGUUUGCUGCCCGGCACCGGUGCUCAGCCAUCAGUCGUGCUCCCCGUGCCCGUCUCGGGCGGAUGGAGCGAGCUGUCCUGGGACUCGCAGACCUGCCGUGUCAUUUCUUUUUCUCGGUAGGUAAUUUAGUUAAUAAGCCUUUGAUCAUAUUCCAAAUUAUUCCCUGAAUGUUUGUGCAUUUGGAACUGUUACUUCGUUACCGUUUGUCUUGAGAAAAUGUCACAGCCUUCGCUGUGGGGAAUUCUCGUGUUCCGGACUCGCCCGGUUUGGGUUAAGGGUGCUGGGCGGAAAGAGCUGCCCCGGCCAGGUAAGGGCAGUCACUUACUUCUUCUUGAAGUCCUCCACCAGGUACUGGGUGUUGAGCAGCUCUCCCUCCAGCCGGCCCUUGUCGCCCAGCAGGCUGUUCAGCUGCACCCGCAGGUUGUUGAUGUAGGUCUCGAAGAGCGGCUCCAGGUUGUUCCUCACCGUUUUGAGCCCCUGCUCCUGCAGCAGGCUCCACUUGGUCUCCAGCACUUUGUUUUGCUGCUCGAGGAAUCGGACCUGCAAGCAGAAACAUCCCGAAGGUGUUUGGACAGGACGGGGGCUCUCGCUUUCCGUGCGAACAGGGCGUCGCGCUCCAGCCGAGGGGAAACUUCUCUUCCCAGCUGGUUUUGUAGCCAGAUUCUCACCUGGUACAAGAAAACAAGUUGCUACCUGGCUGUGGGGACCCUGCUCAGUGCUGCAAACACACUCUGCAGUGACCAUGGACUUUCCUGCGUGACUGCUUUGCUAACUCAGGACAAGGUACCUGCGUUUUGUGAGGAGCGCCUGCACAAUCAGGUAAGGAGCGCAACAAGGUUUGCACUUUGCUCUCGUUUUUGCAGUAAAUGCAGUCAAAUGCCAUUUCUCCCUUCCCUCAGCACAGCUCCCCCACCCCACAAAACCCCAAACGGUGCAGCGUUUUCCUUGAAAUCAGAGCAGCUGCUCGACCAGGACAGAAACCGAGCAUCUAAUUAACCAGGCAGUGAAGCGGCAGGCAGUGCCGGGUUUUGCCGUUCUGAAGCAGCAGUCGGAACGUGCCGCUGCUGUCGCAGCGAUAACUUCACGUGCCCUGGAGGAAAACUCAGGGAACGAGCAGCCUGCAUCUCCCUCCUGCAAUUGGCGGGAUUCCCUUCUGCAUCGCUCGCAUCUCACUUUAACCCUCUGAAACCGUUCCCAGGGCCCGGUGGAGGAGCCCGGCGUCUGCAGAGGGACGGGAUGCUGUCUGGAGCUCGCGUUCUGCGCUGCCUGCAAAACGUCAGGCAGCCAAGGAGGAGAACCCCGAGUACCGGAUGAUUAAUUCAUAGCAACCGCUACGCAGCAGGUACCGUUCCCUGGGAUUUCCGGGGACCGAGCAUCUUCAGGCUCAUUCCUCGCGUCUUUUCCUCCUUGAGCAGCUUGUGUGCUCAGAAACAGCUAAAGAAAGAGUCCUCACCAAAAAGAAUCAGGAUAAGAUAUUUAGGGAAGCUCAUGUCUCACCUUGUCAAUGAAGGAGGCGAAUUUGUUGUUGAGGGUUUUGAUUUGUUCCUUCUCCUCCUUUCGGAUCCUUUGGAUGUUGGGGUCGAUCUCCAGGUUGAGGGGUUUCAGCAGGCUCUGGUUGAUGGACACUUCUUGGAUGCCCCCGGCUGGGAACCCAGGGCCACCAAACGCGCCGUAGCCAAAGCCACCGCCAUACACGCUGCCGGCGCCGCCGCCAAAACCUCCGUAGAAGCUGCCGCCCCGUCCAGCCACCGAGAUCCUCUUGCAUCCCCCCACGUUGUAGAGGCUUUUGCUUCCGAAGCCGCCUCCGACCCUGGCGAAGCCACUGCCGGCGUUGCAGCUGCCGACGCGGGUGACGGAGCGGGAGCUGAAGCUGGUGCGGCAGGUGUUGGGGACGAUGGCCGAGGCGGCGCUGAAGCCGCUUCUCCCCCUCUGGAUGCGGACGGUGGACUGGCGAGACAUGGCUGGCGCUUCAGGCCGGGUGGAUGCUGCAGAACAGAGGAGCGGCGGCGCUGGCCUGGAGCGAGGAGGAGGAGGAGGGAGCAGGAGAGAUGAACCUGUGCUCUGCACGGGCUCCGAGAGCCCUUUUAUGCAUUUGUGAGACUGGGAUGGGUUUGAUGAGGUUGGAUCAUCUUCCUGAUUAAUUAAGCUUGGCAUGUCCAACAGCAUUCUGGAGGGUGAACUCACUCCACACACACGCCCUGCUGAAAUAAUGCAGCCGGGUUCUGAGCAACAGGGCUAUUGUUGGGGAAUAACUGUCGCCCCGUGCCGCCUCUGGAGCCAGGCAGACUCCGGCAGAGCGCUGGAAAGUGCCCGUGAGUCACUGGGCACGGGAGGAAAACACCGUUCACAGCGCCCGGCACCGCGAAACUUCAUCCCUGGGGAUUGGUUUUGCCCCUUUUCUGUUCGCGUUAACGAGUUACGGUGUUGUAGGAAGGAACCCCUGUCGGGCAGGGCCGUGUUCUACAGCCAGCCCUGCACUUUAUCCUGGUUGUUGUGAUAGAUACUGCGUGCUUCCCUCCAGCCCACACAAUGUACCUGCAGAAACAGCUCCACUUCCAUCCCUAGAUAAGCUCAGCUCCCUGAGCUGCUUUCUUCUGAAAAUCCUGCUUCUCCAGGCUUCUUCCAUCCCCGAAUAUAUAUAUAUGUGUAUAUAUAUAUAUAUAUAUAUGAAUGAAAAUGGAAUGUUUUGACAAGGUCUGUAUUCACCUGUGGAUUUUGGCAGCUGCCAUUGAGCUCUAUCGCAAAUAGUUGUGCUACUAACUCAGCUGUGAGGUUUUGGACGUUGGCGUUUUAACAGGAUGGAAACAAACAAACAGACAAAAUAGGAAGAAGGAUGUGGGAGCGGGAGCUGCUCCAUGUGUGGUGGCUCUAUAGCAAUGGGCACUCCAGGGUGGCUCUAUAGCAAUGGGCACUCCAGGGUGGCUCUAUGGCAAUGGGCGCUCCGGGGCUGCUCUGUGUGCGGUGGCUCUAUGGCAAUGGGUGCUCCGGGGUGGCUCUAUGGCAAUGGGCGCUCCGGGGCUGCUCCCUCACCCCGUUCACAAACACCCCGUAGUUUCCCAGCGAUGGAAUCGGCUCAGUCAGUGCCGUGCGUCCAGGUCCCCGGUCACGCACGCGGUCCGGCUGCAGGCACCAGCGCAGCCCUUUGCUGUGCGCUCAGCACGGCUGGUAGAGUAACAAGUCAAAUAGGAAAACAUGAAAACAAUUCAUUCUUCAGGACAGCGAGUGUUUGUGGCCCUCGUGUGCUCCGGGGUGUUCAGGAAAGGAUGAUUCAUACCUGAUUUAUUUACCCAAGAGAGUGAACUUGCAGAUGCAACCCCCCAAACAGCUUCCCUGGGUUGUGUGCGCGUCCGAGCGGCUGCUGCGGCGUGGGAACAACGCGAUAGUGAGGAACAACCUGAUAUUGAGCAACAACGUGAUACCAAGGAAUGUCGUGAUACUGAGGAAUGUCGUGAUACUGAGAAAUGACGUGAUACUGAGGAGCGUAUCUGUGCUUCCAUCUCCCCCGUCUCGCGAGGUGGCUGGCAGGGUGGAGGUGAUGCGGUUGUCACUCAUCUGGAAGGAAUUUGGAGGCCGAGCAGAGGGAUGCGCGUCCCCGACCCAGCGGCAGGAGGUCCCUUUGCACCCUGUUGUAACCUAGGAGUAGAAUCUUGGCCGGGUUUGGUUCUGACAUCACACUGAUAUCAAGUUAAUGAAGUCCCGCUGGUCACCCUGAGCCUUUUCCACGGGGAACCACGCGACUCGCAGCGUCCCGUGCCGCAGGGGCCUCGGGGACGGUUCCCGGGGUGAACUGGGGGUCCCGCGGCCCCCGGAGCCGUUCCCAGCAGUAUCCGCGGGCCGGGCAGCUCUGGCUGCGGGAUGCUUUGAAGUGGAGGCGUGACCUGCUUGGUGCAGAUGAUGGUGUUCUGGGCAGCGCGGGGGCACCGCUGCAGCCGGGUACCUUCACCUUCACCAGUGCCGUUGGUGCCAGGUGUUUUGUGCGGAGCGGGGAGGCCUUGUUUCCCCUGGUGCAUCUUGAAAGAGCCUCUGGCUUUAGGGCUGCUGGGGCUCACGUGGAGAGCAAAGAUCUUCCGCAAGGUUAUCGCAGCAGCGUUGCAGCGUCGCCUCCUUUCUCGUGGCCCCAGGGUGCGUCUUUCCUCCGAUACAGAAAAUCCAGCCCUGGAAGGUCCCGGUGUUUCGGGUCGCUGUGGCUGCUCGUGGCGCGUCCCCCAGCUCCAUCGCUCCAUCCUGCUCCUGCUGCCGCUCUCCUGGCAAAGAGCCGGAGCGGGAGGUUUGAUUUCUCCCCGUUUACCCCGGCGGGACGUGUGCGGCACCGUGCUCAGAGCCGGCUGCGGAAACCAUUUGCAAAUUAAAACAAAGUCAUUUUCUUUGAUGAAAAUUCUCCUUUUGAGUCCAAAAGCUGCAAAGUUUCGUUUGGGAAAUGUGGAGGGGAGAUGUUUCAGCAUUUCAGAGACAUGAUCAUUCCCAUACGAAACGCCGAAAUUAAAUGUUCGGUUUAGAAGAGUACUUCACCUAAUGUUUGAGGUCCCGGCUAAAAUCACUGGUUGAGUUUGACUGGAGAGAGUGAGGCUUCCAGCCCUCUGUGGAUCCCAAGGGGAAGAGGCGCCAGCGUGGGCUCUUCACACGCUGCGGAAACACGAGACCGAGAGCUGCUCGAGGCCCUUUGGUUUUCCCUGGCAGGACCCUGAGGUCGCAGAGGGUCCCGGCAGCGGUGCCCGGGCACGGCGGGCGGCGGGGGCCUCUGUUUGAGCCCAUGGCGCAGCAGCCUGCUGCGUCCGCUCUGUACAAAACAAAAGCCAAGCCCUUUGUUGAUAAUUCAAAAUACACAUAUAGUUUAGCAACAGCAGCCCAGCUGGGCUGCCUUUGCAAGCUGCGCCCUAUUUCCUUAAAACAGUCCAAGAAACAUGGUCAGGUGCUUGAAAACUGACACAAACUGUUGAACGGAUGAAGCCAAACCCACUCACGCUUCACAAGCGCUCCUGGGGUGCCAGCGGGUGUCCCGACCGUCCAAAUCCAUCGCGUCUGCCCUUCCGCGGGUGCUGGAGGGGCAGUCCCGGCUGUGCCUCCCCCAGCCCCGCGCUGGGCCCUGGGGGUCCCACUCCUUGCAGGGUGGGUCCUGCGGCUCCCACUCCUCGCAGGUGACACGGGGCUGUUCUCUUGCUCUGGGCCCCCACCUGCUGGAGACACCCGCUGGGCUCCGGCUGGCUCGGGCUCCCACCUCCCAGGAUUCCCAGCGGGAUCGGGGACCAGGGAGCCCGGGAACGGCUUCAGGUUCAUGCGGAAUGAAGCUGCGGCCCCAAACGGCCCUUCAGAGCCGCAGCUCUGUGCGGGGUUUGUGUGUGCUGGGGAAAACCCCACGUGCAAACGCUGCACGUGCAGAUUUUGGGCACUUCGCCCCGUGUCCACCCCUCUUUGCCGGUGCUGGUUCCUCCUGUUUGUGUGAGCUGAGCUGUGUCCCCCUCUGCUAGUCAGGAAUCCCAGCUGAACCCUUUGGCUCGGCCCCGCGGCAGCUCUUCCCCUCCCUGCCUCAGGUCUCCGGCCAUCCUGCCCUCCUUCCCACCCUCCGCAGCCCUUCCCAGAGCCCGCGUGCUAAAUCCGAGUUGUCUUUCCACCCAUCAACACCCAGAGCAGCGGAGAAGAAAAGCCAAAAAAGCAGCAGGUUUUUAAAAAUGAGAAAUGCUCUUUAUUGGACCGUACAGUGCGGUGGGCCUGGAGGCGAAGAGGCUGUAGCCUCCAGGACGAGGAUUUAGAAAUCGGGGUGGCGAUUAUGUGCACAGAAAGCGAUAACCGCUCCCACAGGUGCCCAAGCAAACGGGGGGGCUGGGAGAAAUCUUGACUUGCAGACAGGGGAUGAGAAGGUUGUAACACGUUGCAGGCAGAGGCUUUUAGAGCACCAUGGAGCUCUUUUCCUUGCUGAGGACCUGGGCCUGUGGUUUCACGAGGCCGUCACCCCGGUUUUAGAGGAAUGACACAGGACCGCGGCCAAGCGUGGCUGUUUCCCUUCAGCAAAGCGCGUCCACGUGGCUUUGAGCGCCUGACUCCGGGGGAGGACAAGGACUGUGCUGGAAAAGGGCCAGCGCGGGGUCCAGGCGGCUUCCAAAGCCCUGCCGGCGACCUGCUACAACCUCUGCUUUGGCCAAAGCUGCUCCAGACAAUCACAACGGGGUCCUGCUCGUCCUCCCCUGCCCCGGAGGCGGAGGGAGACGGCCGGAGGAGGAGAGAGGGUCUAGCGCAGCUAUUUACACCGUUGAUUCGUAGGACAGCACUUGCUUUCAGAAGGAGGGAGGUCGUGGCGGCGUCCGCGCGGGCGGCCCCGUGCUCGCCGUCCUUAUCUGACGGUCUUUUUGCUGGUGGUGGUCUUGGAAACGAUCCUGACGCUGCCGCCCCCGCUGGAGCCCACGCCUCGGCUGCUCCCGGAGCUGAAGCUGCUGCCCCCGCCGUAGCCGAGCGCCCCGCCGAAGCCUCCGCUCCCGCCGCCGAAGCCGCCGCCGCUGCUGCUCAUGCUGUAGCCGCCGCUGCUGUAGCCGCCGCUGCUGUAGCCGCCACUGUAGCCGCCGCCGCCACCCAUGCCCAGGGAGCCGCCGCUGCCAUAGCCCAUCCCGCUGGAGGUGCUGACCACGGCUGCAGGGACACGACACCCGCGUCAGGUCCCGCCAGCUGCCCCAGCCGAGGGGACCUCCUGGCAGCGGGUUGGGCUAAAUGGCCUCAAAAAGGUCCUUUCCAACCCAAAUUACUCUAUGGCCUGCACCGUCACCCCUGCGGUGAGGGGGAGCGAGCAGGGUGGAAUCGGGGAGAUACUUACAGACGCUCACGGCUCCGACUCCCUCUCCAGCGAGCCUGUAGGGAAAGGGGAACGUAAGGAGUAACGCCAAAGUACAGACGAGAUCUAACAUGAGCCGCUGGAGCACCUACUUAGGCCUUUGUGGCCAUCAGUAGGGACUGUCCUCAGCUGGGCUAUGUCCGUAUUGCAGAUAAAAAUGCUCAUUUUUAUCUGCAUCAGGUGCCAGGAACUGGAGAAACUGAUCUUUUCCUACAAAACUCCCAGCUGAACAUAUCCCUUUCUCUGCCCCCGUUUUCCAUCACCCGGUGCUGCAGCCGCGGGGCUGAGCUGCUGUUCGUGCCCCCGGCUCCGCGGAGCCGCGCCCAGGACCCGUGUCCUCGUCCCCACCUGCUCUCCUCGCCCUCCAGCAGCUUCCUGUAGGUCGCGAUCUCGAUGUCCAGGGCCAGCUUGACGUUCAUGAGCUCCUGGUACUCGCGCAGCUGCCGGGCCAGGUCGGCCUUGGCCUUCUGCAGCGCGUCCUCCAGCUCGGCCAGCUUGGCCUUGGCGUCCUUGAGCGCCAGCUCGCCGCGCUCCUCGGCCUCGGCGAUGGCCGCUUGCAGGUUUGCACACUAAAAACAGGGAAAAUAGGUUAUCAUGUCACUUUGGCCACCCAAAACUCAUCCCUGCGUAUUGCUGUGGGAUUGCAGGUACUGGCUGGUGGCUCCUGGGAUUGCACUGAGAGGUCGUGGUGGGCCAUUAAGAAGGUGUUGUAGGGUGGGUGACAUCAUCUUGUCCCCCAAGAAAAGGAGAGACCUCUGCACGUCUCUGCUUUGCUCCACACCUUUUCAGGGCAGCUUAGUAGUUCACAAUUUGCUUCCCCAGCAAGAAAGCGGCUUUCACAGCACAUCCCUGCCCGGAAGGACCCUCUCUGGUGGGCAGAGACGAGGUGGCCGUGUCCUCCUGUGCCAGGACCUGCCUCCUUCUGGCCACCGUCACCUCCCGCCGCCCAGCUGCUGCUCUGCGGGAGCGUCCCCCUCCUACCUGUUUCUUCACGCUCUCGAUCUCGUUGCGCAGCCUCUGGACCAUCCGGUUAAUCUCUGAGAUCUCGAUCUUGGUGUUCCGCAGGUCGUCGCCGUGCCGGCCCGCCGAGACCUGCAGCUCCUCGUACUGGUGUGCGGGAAGGGGGAGAGCACGGUGAGGGCAGCACAGGGGACUUGGGCACAAAGCACAGCUUAAGGGGUGGGGGACAAAGUUCCUCUGAGCAACAUGCCCAUGGAAUGACAGUAUUUGCCCUUAGUUAUCGAUAUGUGCUAAGACUGGAUUGCAUAGAGCACCUCUGGGUUGUGACCUGCUCUUAAGGACCUGGAAGGAAAUGAAGCUCUCCGUGUCUAAGGCCAGAUCUGCCGGUGGCUCUUUGUGAGCCCAGGCUUAAGACAUUAAAGCGGCUUUCUCUUGGUUCCACCGCAAGGACUCUGAGGCUGGCCAAGCGUAGGGGCCCCAGGCUCGCAGUGGGGGUCUGCGCGCGAUUGCAACACGCGCAGAAAGAUGAAUUCAUCUGCGGGUGAUGCUGGAACCUUCCCGGCAGCUGUUGGGGCCCCGCUCUGCGCUUCGUCACCCACCUUGGUCUGGUACCAGGCCUCGGCCUCGGCGCGGCUGCGGUUGGCGAUGUCCUCGUACUGCGCCUUCACCUCCGCGAUGAUGCUGUUGAGGUCCAGGCUGCGGUUGUUGUCCAUGGACAGCACCACCGAGGUGUCGGACACUUGCUGCUGCAUCUGGGAUAACUCCUGCAGAAGGUGCAAAGAAUGGAGUUAGAGCUCUGGGAUCUGGAGCAGAACCUGCGCAGACGGGGGCAGCUUGGGAGCCCCCUCUGCCAAACCCUCUUCUUGCAUUUUCCCUGCUCUGUUUCUACCUGUUUCCCCUUUUUUAUCUGACGCCUGUGUUACAGUUUCCAGACGGCGGUGACCCCGCUCUCCGUGACCGCUCACAGCCCCGAGCGCGGCGGCCGGAGCCCCGGGGAGCGCGGCCGGCGCCAUCUGCACUUACCGCCUCGUAGAGAGCGCGCAGGAAGUUGAUCUCGUCCGCCAGCCCGUCUGCCUUGGCCUGCAGCUCCACCUUGUUCAUGUAAGCGCCGUCCACGUCCUAAGGAGAAGAGAACCAAAGGCUUCUGGUGAAGCCGCAAGCCAGAGGGACAGGGGACGCCAGCACAACCAUCCCUCCGUGCCCAGGUCUGUCAUUCCUUAGGCUUGUUUUUAUACUGUUGCGAUUAAGGAUUUUUUUUUUAAUAUCAGACAUUUUCUGUGAGCCGGGACCAGGGAUGUGACCUGGGAGUUAAACUGAGUCACACGAGGCCAAAGGGUUCAUAACCGCAGCUGCAGGCGCUUCCUUCAGAAAACAGGGCAGCUCCCUGGAGGUUUUUCUGUUGGUGGCUCAGACCCCACUGUCCGCCCAUAACUCACCUUCUUGAGCACCACGAACUCGUUCUCUGCGCCAGUGCGCCGGUUGAUCUCAUCUUCGUAUCUGUUUGGAUAAUAGAGCAAGAGGGUUUGGGUAGAGAGCAGAGAUGGAGCCGCUCGCUCCCAGAUCAGUACUUGCGGCUCACGGGUAUAUCCCCUGUUCCCACCCGUUCACCGGCGGAGCAGACGCAGAGCAAAUAGUUCCUGGGUCUGAACCUGCGGGACUCCCAGCUAAAAGGAAUAGGUUUGGAUCCUCGCCCUUAGAGUCGAGCUCGUGCAUAAGCGUGUGCGGGAUCAGAGCCCGUGGGAGCAGGAGCUGGAGUUCCUGGUGACCUUCGCCCAACAGCAAGUGAUGCAAAGGGCUUUCAACAAAGCUGCAUCUGCUAACGUAUAAUAACGUAACAAUUUGAUGUUUGAUAUUCUAAUAACGCUAAUGUCUCUGAACAACCCGCUGCAGCAUUUAACUUAAAAGAAAUCUGUGAUUCUUUAGCCGUGGUUGUGCAAGAGCACAUCGUGAUGCCUCAAGACUUCUGUGGAAGUUUUUGUGGCUCUGAGCAACAUCCUCUCAUCAGAUAAUCAGGGCAGGGCUUAGCUAGAGAGGAGACAGGACAUGCAGGCUCUUGAGGCAAAGCCCUGGCUUUUCCAGGCAGGUUCGUGCCAGUCCCCCAGCUCAUAUUGCCAGCAACGUCCCUGCAGCCGCGGCCGCGAGCGGACACGGGAGGAGACGCGAACUCUGGACUGGGAACCAGCUCCGGACUUGAAAUAAGAGGUGUUCCCUAUCCCAGCCGGUAGCUCCAAAACCCCAUUUGUCAUUUUUGGCCUGAUCAGUAGUUCUCAGAGCCUAUAAUCCAUAUCUAGACCUGAAGUGCACCCAAGCACAACGCGCCAGAAGCCGUGUCCGUCCCUCCCGUCUGCUCCAAGCGCUGUCUCCCUGUCCCUGCCAAAAAAAUCUGUCUCUCCACACACUUAACUGUAACAUUUGAAUACAUGUCAGGCCUGGGGGGUGUUUUCCUCAGGCGGGACUUGGCCAGAUCUGGUUGAAUAAGGGCGAGAUUGUUCUCGCCAGGCUGCAGCAGCUGCAGGUGAAGCGCCACGCCUGAAAAACCACCUGAAUGUCCCUUGGAGUCGGCAGACGCUGCGUGACGUGCUUGGAACGACCCGGCCGCCCCGCGGCCGCCCCCGCAGCAGGGGACCCGUCCCCUCCCCGGGGAGUCUCCUCUGCCCAGAGCCAGGGACAAGCGCGGCCGCCCGGGCUCGCGAAAGGCUGGGGUUGCUUUGCAAAAGCAGAAAUGGGGGUUUUGGAGCUGGCGCUUUAUCACGUGUCUCGUUCCCUUUUGCGCAUCUAUUACGCUCCCGAGUGACACGUUUUUCUGUCCCCAGGUGUGUUACUUGGGAGGCUCAAGGGACCAGACUGUGACCUCGGGUACACCGUGAGUUCUGUGCUGGACGCUGAUCCUGCCCCUAAGAAAUCCGCCCUGACCAGAGGUAAUUCUGAGACCAGGCUUUGCUUUCACACCUUGGUGUUGCAAACUGGCGGAGGAACCCGGUGCAAACACGGGGCGUGCACCAGCCAGCGUGAGCCGCCUGCCCCGGUUUUCACGGGUUUUAAUCAUUUCUACUACGGAGCACAGUUUCUUACUUGUUCUUGAAGUCUUCCACCAUGUCCUGCAUGUUCCUGAGCUCGGUGUCCAGCCGGCUCCGCUCGCCCAUGAGGCUGUCGAGCUGCCGGCGCAUGUUGUUGAUGUAGGACUCGAAAAGGGGCUCCAGGGACUUCCUGGUGACGGUGUGACCCUGCUCCUGCAGGAGGGUCCACUUGGUCUCCAGCACCUUGUUCUGCUGCUCCAAAAAGCGCACCUGGGGAGAAAGGAGAGGCAGACGCGCUCAGGCGCCGCGCGGACCGUCCGCUGCGGGAAACGUGCGACCGGUCACCACGGAAAGCAAAGGGCGGGAGAUGCUGGGACAGUUCGGGGGAAUCACUAAGAUCUGCCUAAUUUAGGGCACCAGAUUCUAGAAAGUAUUGAAAGCAUCUAAGGUGUUUAGAGGGUUUAUUUUCGAGAGCUAUUACGCAGGCCGGACAUCUGUGUUUGCAGCUUUGGGUGUUUCUCCCACAACAGAUGCUAAGCCCACCUUACUGGUUUAAACUGGUGUUAUCCCAUUGUAGAGCUUUGCCGUUUUACAGCCAGUAAAUCCAUCCGGCCCCGGGGUGUUUCUUACAGGGAGGAGGGGGAUUUACUUUCUCGGGAAAAUGAAGCACUGAAACCUCCUCCUUGCAAAGGGGAAGCGUGAGCCGGUUGUGCGUUUUCGGCCAAGCCCUCGCUGUUUGCCUGGAUCGGUUCGGGCAAGCCCCGAAAUCCAAAGGAGGUUUCUUCCUCUUGUUUCUCCCCGAGGCAACUGAUAACAUGCAGGGCGUGAUGCUAAGGACCAAACUCUCACCUUGUCGAUGAAAGAGGCGAAUUUGUUGUUGAGGGUCUUGAUCUGCUCCCGCUCCUGCGUUCGCACCUUCUGGAUUUCGGGGUCGAUGUCCAGCUUGAGAGGCGCCAGCAGGCUCUGGUUGACCGUCACUUCUUGGAUGCCGCCAGGUGGGCAGACGGGGAACCCGGGGCCACCUCGACCGCCAAAUCCGGGACCUCCCAGCCCAAAUCCACUGCCCAGCCCGUAGCCGCCACCACCACCAGCUCCUCCUAAGCCAAAA